GAUCCUGGCUCAGGACGAACGCUGGCGGCGUGCCUAAUACAUGCAAGUCGAACGAGAGCGACCGGUGCUUGCACUGGUCAAUCUAGUGGCGAACGGGUGAGUAACACGUGGGUAACCUGCCCAUCAGGAGGGGGAUAACAUCCGGAAACGGAUGCUAAAACCGCAUAGGUCUUCGAGCCGCAUGGCUUGAAGAGGAAAAGAGGCGCAAGCUUCUGCUGAUGGAUGGACCCGCGGUG
rnacentral:rRNA from 1 species